GUAACGGGGGGGGCGCAGACCCCAAGUCGCAUAACGCAAUACAUUAGUUGAACAGGAUUCAAAACGUGAGGUAUUGCUGCUAUGUAUUAAAUAUUCGAGAUCCCCUAUGCUUGCGAUUUGGCCCGAAGAAUAAUCCAUUCCACCGGACUCCCACACGGCAUCAGUGCGGUGAACCUCGCUCUCGCGAAGAAUUCGGUGCGUGCGACUGCCACCACCCGACAAAAGUCACGAGACCGCUGGUGGGAACUCCAGCCCACUGGAGAGUGCUUCCAAUGUGGUCGCUGACUGCAAACUGAGCGCCUUCGAAGGCGGCCGAUCUGGCAGCUGACUGCUGACUGACGAGCCGGCGAAGGGUGCCGCCAUGCCGUGCUUCUUCCGGGACGGCUACCAGAUGCAGCCGAGGGUGAUCAGGCCUGUGAUCAGCCCGCGCCACAUCCUGCUGCUGGCCGUGCUGACGGUGGUGCUGUACGCCGAGUGGUGGGACUUGGCGCAGCACGCGCGCGCCUGGCCGACGCUGCCCGGCGAGGCGGAACACGGCAGCCUGCGCCUCCUGCUGGUGGCCGACCCCCAGCUGCAGGGCGAACUCACCGAGCCGGCCUGGCCGCUGGGCACCCUUACGCGCUGGGACUCAGACAGGUACAUGCGUCAGGGGUUCGGCCGCGCCUUCCAGCACGUGAUGCCAGACGCCGUGGUGUUCCUCGGUGACGUGCUGGACGAGGGCAGCGUGGCCUCGCCCGAACAGUACGCCGGCUACAUCAGGCGCUUCUGGUCCAUCUUCGGCUUCCCCAGGAACACCAAGAUGGUGGCGGUUCCUGGUGACAACGACAUCGGUGGCGAAGGUAGAGAGCCCGUGAAGCCGGACAAGGUGCAGGCCUUUAAGAGUGUCUUCGGUGCCAAGACUUCGACCAUCGUCGAUUUCGUCCAGUUUUACAAGGUCUGGACGAUCCCGCCGUCCUCGAACCACUCGGCCCCGCCGCUGACCGACGGCAUCAACGUGCUGGUCAGCCACUUCCCGCUGACCUCCAGCGUGUCGACGCUCACCCGAGAGACGUUGCUGCGCCUGCGCGUGAACCUGAUCUUCUCGGCGCACUCGCACACCUCGUAUGUGGCCAUCCGACGGAAGCGGUCUGGCCACAGCCUGCGCAUGGAGAGCCUGACCGGCGGCCGACUGGAGCGAUUGAACCUGGAGGACGACAACGUUGUCGAGAUCGUCGUGCCCACGUGCUCGUACCGGAUGGGUGUGCGGACCAUGGGGUACGGUGCUGCCGUCAUCGAUCGGGAGGGUGGUCUCAGCUACGCCGUGCUCUGGCUGCCGUCUCGCUUCAAGCAUUUACACAUCUACCUGGCCGUACUGCUAUGCGUGUGCGUCGUGCUCACCGCCUACCUCUGCAACCGACGGGGCGACCGACGACGCAGUAUUCACCGCAGCAAGAUGGCCGGCGUCUGAGGCGUCGCGUCAAGAUGGCUGCCUUUGGAGGCAAGAUGGCCGCCGAGCGAGGCGGGCAGGUUGGCACGGUUUGCAGCUGCUACAGCCUCAACUGCUGCGUGUGGACAGACACAGAGAGUGGUCUUACAGUUGGAUCAGAACUACACUACCAUUACCCAUCCAAACUGUUUCCAUCGGUAAGUUCAGCACACUUUGGCAACACUUGGGCGAUGCUGGAUGGUCUUCAUCCUUCCGGGGGGAGGCUAAUCGGCCAUUGAUGACGUGUUGACGUUGCGAGCUAAUGAUUGCGAAGCGUUUUUGUGCAGUAUGCCAGAGAUAGAUCCAACCGUCCCAGCAGGCUCAGGUCCGAGCUGGUGGGCUCAGAGCGUUGUGGGUUUGUUGGCCUGAACCAUCAUUGGCUGUCAGCUAUUGCGUUCAGCAUCGGAGGAUGCUGUCUGCCAGCUGGUAGACGCCACCCACGCUGUGAGAGAGAUCCAGACUGACACACCGAGCGAUGGGUGCCGGCUCAGUUCCAGCUGGUCGUGAACGGAGCUAAGCGUGAGCAGAAUGACGUCUUCACUUGCCUGGGGUCUGCUGGAAGCGCUGCCGGCUGGGUGUGGAGGGUCGAAACCAGAGGUGGAGUUAGCUCCCUGUACCGUGACACCUUUUGGACCUUGCAUGUUCUCAAGAGGUUCAACAGGGAUUUUUAGCUGUUUUACCGCAUCAGGACAAUGACGACCUUUAAUAAUAUGCAUUCUUGACAGAAGUUUCUGUAUAUAGUGAUGUUACUUAUCUUUCGUGCUUCCACUUUCCCUUCCGAUGUUCGAUGAGCGGAGCGUUGCUGCUGAUCCUGAUCUCGGUGACUCCGCCCUCCCGGCUGAUCGCGGUGCCGUCUGGGAGCUUCGGACACUCCCGACUUUAACGUCUCCGCUGAUCCUGAUCUCAGCGACUCCGCCGUCCCGGGUGAUCGUGGUGCGGUGCGGGGGCUCCGAACACUCCCGAUUUUAACGUGUCCGCUGACAGCGCUGGAUCGCUAGGUCUUCCCCGUUAUAUCAUGUUUGGUACAUUUCAUGAGACACAUAACUUACAGCUGCUGGCGUCGUGAUCUCGCCUGCCAGAUGUAGCGGAGAGCUGGACCACAGGGAACAGUGAGGUUCGCGGCCGUGUAGCUGAAGGCAUAGGGAGCUCAGACCCCCCCCCCCCCCGGCCCCACCCACCUGCAACAUGUUCAGCCGCCGAGACGCUGAUAACGGCCGUGUGUGGUUUGCGUCCAUGUCAAUGGCACCAGAGCUACGUUGCUUCAGCUUUUGCUACAGCCUGCGAACCUAGAUUGGCGUGCGUUCACGGAAAUAUUCCAGCUGCGAACGCGAAGUAUCAAACAAACGGACAGGCCCACCAUAGCCAGUGCAUCGGCGGCCGUAUGUGUCGGUCGCGCUCAUAAAGGAAUGUCUGCUCUAGGUUACAGUUGUGAAAAGAUCUCUGCUGAACAAAGCCUCGUUUUAUGUUGGCAUUUCAGCCCUAUCACGUGGAGACAACUCCACGCUGCAAAGGUUCCUUCGAGACUCAGCAUAAGUUGUCAAGCUUUUGGCCGCCUUGAUUCACCUGGCGGCGUUUGCUGCACUGUUGGUUUGCUGGUUUACCCUUAGAUGUUACUAGUGAGCAAGCGGGAGCGAAUUCGACGCCUGCAUUGCAACAUGGGGGGGGGGGGGCAUUGCAUCUUUGGGGUUGUGUUUUACAUGCUUUUCGUUGAGGAAGUUCGGGCUGCAAAGAUCAAUGGGCGUGCAUUUUCUGCCUCAAGUGUACGUCUUUUAAAAAUUAUGUUGCAUUUCCUUGUUGAUUUACCGCGCGUCUUUAGUUUUAGUCUUUAGUUUUGCUUCGAAUGAUUUUCGUGCAAGUUAAAGUUGCAUCCUUCCCACCAAGGAAGAUGUCUUGAGUUGGUCACGUGGCCCACCAACACUGCUGUAUAGGACCUCAAUAAGCAACGCCGCGGCGAUGUUGGACUGAAGACACGCUCUGUUGAGCAGGCCUACGAGGGCUUGUCCGCGUUUCCACCGUCUCAGUCAAUGACUUUCUUCCCACAUGCAGAGGCGACGGAUUUAUCACCGUACUGCUUCACACUCGCAGACCGAGACAGCUGACGUUGACACACAUGCUAACGAUGACCUUGCCGAACCGGUCCCCCCACCAACGGAUGGGAGUGGCCGAGUUUGAUAUGGUUUACCAAGCGGUGGGUGAAUGUCAGCGAGGUAACAUGCGUUGGCCGAGCCGGAGCGGACGGGCUUGGGUUGUCAUCAGCGUACCGGCUAGUCACCAAUGCAUGUGUUAGUCUUCACUGUCAAGCACGUACAGCCCGCGUGCUACAACGCAGCGUUCCCGCAGUUUAGUUGGGUUGUGCCACACAACUGGGUAAUAGGGACUGGACUCAACUCUAACCAGCAAUAAGGCCAAGGUCUGGUUGCUUUGCCAGUGCUAGAUAAUUACCCAGAAUUCGGAUGGGCAAAAAUCUUAUUGGGUAAGGGGAUAAUCUUCUUGCCAAAAAAUUACUCCUCGAAUGAAAGCACAUGUUUUUUUACUAGCGUUGGGGCCACAUGCCUCUCGCCUCCUUCCUUUCCCGGAUACGUUCUUGUUUUGAGUCUCGGAGGCAGCUUAAAAUAGCCCAGUUCAAGUGCGUUAGCCAGCAAUAUAGCUUAUACAGGCUGCGCACCGUGUUUAAAGAACACUCGCCCGGUAGACCGCAUCACUCAGGGACAGCGACGCCACGGUGCUGAUCUGUGGGCGGCAGUCUUGUGUCUGUCUCGAUGAUGGGGCGUCAGACCUUGCCGUACGCCUCCCGCUGCUGCGAGCGCGCCGGCCGGAUGACGAAGGCUGACGCGGCCGGCCGGGCAUGGCGCGCGGGGCAUCGCAGGCACGGCAGGUCAGCUUGUGGAGGCUACGUCUGUGGUCGAGGUUCUCCGCAUAUUCGGGGAAGGGGGAUGUGGUGCGCUAGACAGCGGACCG
rnacentral:misc_RNA from 1 species